GCCUGAUCCAGCAUGCCGCGUGCAGGAUGAAGGCCCUCGGGUUGUAAACUGCUUUUGUACGGAACGAAAAGCCUGGGGCUAAUAUCCCCGGGUCAUGACGGUACCGUAAGAAUAAGCACCGGCUAACUACGUGCCAGCAGCCGCGGUAAUACGUAGGGUGCAAGCGUUAAUCGGAAUUACUGGGCGUAAAGCGUGCGCAGGCGGUUUUGUAAGACAGUGGUGAAAUCCCCGGGCUCAACCUGGGAACUGCCAUUGUGACUGCAAGGCUAGAGUGCGGCAGAGGGGGAUGGAAUUCCGCGUGUAGCAGUGAAAUGCGUAGAUAUGCGGAGGAACACCGAUGGCGAAGGCAAUCCCCUGGGCCUGCACUGACGCUCAUGCACGAAAGCGUGGGGAGCAAACAGGAUUAGAUACCCUGGUAGUCCACGCCCUAAACGAUGUCAACUGGUUGUUGGGUCUUAACUGACUCAGUAACGAAGCUAACGCGUGAAGUUGACCGCCUGGGGAGUACGGCCGCAAGGUUGAAACUCAAAGGAAAAUUGACGGA
rnacentral:rRNA from 1 species